rnacentral:lncRNA from 1 species
CUAGAAUUUAAGCUUUAUGUUUCCAUAGUAGAGGUAAGGAAUGGGGUAUGGACAGAGUUCUAUGGCCCUCUGGUAACAGCCACUGUUCCCUCCCUCAGACUUCUACCACAAGGCAUGGGUUGAGAACUGCCUCCAAUCCUUUUGUGCAAGUGCCUGGUAAGGUACCUAGAGAAGAGCCGCGUAAACUAUCCUGAUACCUGUGGUUCCAAGGAGCUACAUAGUUUCUCACCAGCCCAUACUCAGUCUCUACCAAUUCCUUAACAAUUCGUGAUGAAAUAUUCCUACUUCUGUUUGGUUGCAUCUGUCUCAGGUAUUGUGACUGCCCAUCAAGACUUUGACCUUGUGUUCAGCCACUAUGAGUUCCCCUGGUCGUGGACUGCCUGGGAUCCUACAGUUACUUUAAUCUGCAGCUACUAA